GAUGAACGCUAGCGGCAGGCCUAACACAUGCAAGUCGAGGGAGAAGCCCUUUCGGGGGCAGAAACCGGCGCACGGGUGCGUAACGCGUAUGCAACCUACCUUUCACAGGGGGAUAGCCCGAAGAAAUUUGGAUUAAUACCCCAUAAUAUUAUUGGAUGGCAUCAUUUGAUAAUUAAAACUGCGGUGGUGAAAGAUGGGCAUGCGUCCUAUUAGCUAGUUGGAGUGGUAACGGCACCCCAAGGCUACGAUAGGUAGGGGUCCUGAGAGGGAGAUCCCCCACACGGGUACUGAGACAGGGACCAGACUCCUACGGGAGGCAGCAGUGAGGAAUAUUGGUCAAUGGUCGGAAGACUGAACCAGCCAUGCCGCGUGCAGGAAGAAUGCCUUAUGGGUGGUAAACUGCUUUUAUAUGGGAAGAAUAAGGUGCACGUGUACAUUGAUGACGGUACCAGAUGAAUAAGCAUCGGCUAACUCCGUG
rnacentral:rRNA from 1 species